UCUCCUUGCUGCUAGGCUGCAUAGCAGGGACCCAGGAGCAGCGGCGGAGCUGGGCCUGCCCCGGCCAGUCACAGGUGCUGCGUCACUGGCAGAAAACCACAGGCUAAGCAGACAGCGCAACAGACGCCUUUUCUUCGUGGCUUCGUGCGGAGGUUUCCCGGCAGCAAAGGAGCUGUUCUUGGCAGCCUCCAACCGGGCGGUCGGGGAAUAUCUGUGCCCGCUGUAAAGGAACCUUUGACCUCAACAUGGA